AGCACGGAGGCCACAGGAUCCCAGCCCGGCCUUUGUGGGACUGAGGUGGCGCUGAGUGGGAGAGCAGCAGGCGAUGCGCGAAAGGCGGGACUUGGAGAUAAAUACUGAGCACCCACAACAGGCAGCCAGCACCACUGCAGAUUGGAUACUGCAAUGAUGAUAAGCAUGGCCUGCCUUUAUGGAGGUGAUGUUAUUGUGUGGGGAGGCAGAUGGUUCUGGAUGUUCCUGUGGAUAACCUCAAGGAGCACGGGACCUGGGACAUGACUGCCCCCAGCAUUCCUUCUGGCGGCAGACAGAGUUUGUCAGUUCGCCAACAUCCUGCUUUCAUGAGAACAGUUUGCUGUUUGCUCACAGAGCCUCCAGUGGUAUACUGAGUUGGUCACGACCCUCAUUCCUUCGGCCUCCAACAUCUCCCCUUUUGUUUUUGCAUUAAUUGAAUAAAGGUAAUUUCAGGCUGUGCAGCUUUCAA
rnacentral:lncRNA from 1 species